rnacentral:tRNA from 1 species
GCUCUUGUAGUGUAGUGGUCAUCACUGAGGACUUUGAAUUCUCGAUUCGCUAAAUUGCGAAAAAUUGCGAAAAGAAGAUAUCCUCCAACCGCGGUUCGAAUCCGUGCAGGAGCU